AAAAGGGGGCUGAGGUGGAG
rnacentral:miRNA from 1 species